rnacentral:rRNA from 1 species
CCUGCUAUGGUAUAACUUAGUGGCAGACGGGUGAGUAAUGUAUAGGAAUCUACCUAGUAGUACGGAAUAAUUGUUGGAAACGGCAACUAAUACCGUAUACGCCCUACGGGGGAAAAAUUUAUUGCUAUUAUAUGAGCCUAUAUUAGAUUAGCUAGUUGGUGGAGUAAUAGCCUACCAAGGCAAUGAUCUAUAGCUGAUCUGAGAGGAUGAUCAGCCACACUGGAACUGAGAUACGGUCCAGACUUCUACGGGAGGCAGCAGUGGGGAAUAUUGGACAAUGGGCGAAAGCCUGAUCCAGCCAUGUCGCAUGAGUGAAGAAGGCUUUUGGGUUGUAAAGCUUUUUUAGUGAGGAAGAUAAUGACGGUACUCACAGAAGAAGU